UUUCAUGAUGACAAGUGAGCUACUUUCGAAAGUAUUUAUGAAGAGACUCAUAAAAAAUAAUCGAUUUGCAUGUCAGUCUGAAC